rnacentral:SRP_RNA from 1 species
GCUCAGGUACUAUGCAAGAGGUAUCUUUCUAACUCCGUCAGAUUCGGAAGAAAGCAGCGGUCGAUUGUGUAUCUUUGUGCCGUAGACCACCUGAGCUCU